GUCGUAAUCUCAUCUCCUGGGAAGCCUGGAGAGCUCCUGCCUCCUGGGCCAGGGGUGUCUGAACGGGAUGUCACCUCCUCGGGCUGACUGCUGCAUCACCUCCUGAUGCCCAGCUCCCUGUGAUCCCAUUCUUCACAGGUCCAAGGGCCCAGGUGAGUUGGGCACAGAUCUGGUGGCCCAUGGGCUACUCCUCUGUCUGGGCACGGGGCUGCUGAUGACCCCAUAUGGCCCUUUCUUGCCCGUAGCUCCACAGCCCGUGUCCUUCAGCUGUUAUCUGGCUGCGGUUGAUUCCAACAUGCUCCUUUUUUCAGCUCAAAUUCCCUGAGUGCUGGGGGUGGAUCCUUUUAAUUUUCAUUUGUUUCAAAGCCGUACAUGGCUUACAAGCAUGACAGAAAUGCGCCUGGAGUGCAGGAAAUGGCCUACUUAGCUGCAGGAGCAGAGCAGGCUUUUCCGUCACGCUGACUCCCAGGGCCCCAUCCUCCCCAGGGACCAGGGCAGCUGCCUGCAUCCCCCACGGAUGCCUGGUUUUGGAGCUUCUCUUCAGGAGAUGUUUAGUCCCACCAUAAAGUCCAAACAGGAGCAGGGAGCAGAGGUUUGGAGGGUAAUUCCAAAUUCUGACACCAAACUGCUGUGCAGGGUCAGGGCAGGUCCACUCUCCAUGUCUCUGCUCACCCAGCUGACCAUGACAACCUCUGGCUUGUCAAGAAGGAGGAGAGAGACCAAGGCAGGACUAUCACCAGCCAAGAAGGAGAAGGAGAGAGACCAAGGCAGGACUAUCACCAGCCAAGAAGGAGAAGACAGAGACCAAGGUAGGACUAUUCACCAGCCAAGAAGAAGGAGAGAGACCAAAGCAGGACUAUCACCAGCCAAGAAGGAGAAGGAGAGAGACCAAGGCAGGACUAUCAACAGCCAAGAAGGAGAAGGAAGGAGAUCAAGGCAGGACUAUCACCAGCCAAGAAGGAGAAGGAGAGAGACCAAGGCAGGACUAUCACCAGCCAAGAAGGAGAAGGAGACACCAAGGCAGGACUAUCACCAGCCAAGGAGGAGAAGAGAGAGACCAAGGCAGGACUAUCACCAGCCAAGAAGGAGAAGGAGAGACAUCAAGGCAGGACUACCACCAGCUGAGGAAGCAGAGCUUGCAUGGCCAGACCUCUACCAGCUUUUGGGCUCAGUGGACGCUUUCAGGCUAGUCUGAAAGGGGACAAAGAUCUGAGAAGGGUUGAAUUCCAAGUUUGGGCGAGCUAAUGGCUGGGGAGGGGGUCUCAUACCAGGCUCUCAGGGAGGGAAAGGCUGCACUCAGGAAGGGUUCACCCUGCCAGCAGCACCCAGAGGUGGGGUGACCCAGCCAGCUACACACUGCUCUGCCCCACCAGUACUUGGAGAACACACAGAGACUUCUGUGCCACUUCUGUGACAUCUGGAACUGGAUGCACAUACUUGCCUUAGUAGAGCAGACAGGAACAUGGGGUCUUCUGGGCUGAGAAGAGUCUCCCCAAAAGGCACUGAAUUCACCCAGUGGGUCCCAGUAAGACUGAGGAUCUUCACAUUAACACCAACUUACUUGCCAGAGAGCUCACAGAGCUUCCUUCAGCCAAGGAAGCAUUGCAGUAGGCUCAGGGGCGAAAAACCACAGUAAAUAAAAUGGAAAUAGUUUGAGGGAAGGUUGGAUCC
rnacentral:lncRNA from 1 species